rnacentral:lncRNA from 1 species
AUGGACGCAAAUUUCCGUACCUGCGCUGCCAUCCCCAUGAAGGCCCAGAGCCGGAACAUCUUCAGCGGCACGCUGACCAAAUACUGCAGGCAGAGCAGCACGCGCGUGUGUCACACGAGAGGAGGGGGGGGGGGGGAGUUUUGCACGCGCGCGUGCAACGCUCACCUCGUGGAAGAAGGCGGAGGCCAGAAACACGGCGGUCUGCGCCGUCCAUUUGCUCACACCGCGCUUCAGCAUCGGCUUGUAGAAGUGCCUGGGGGGGGACAGGUGUGUUGCACGGCAAGUGUGCAAAGGGGGGGGCGACGGGAGUGCACAGGGGUUGGCGUGGGGUUGGUGUGCAAUAGUGGUGAGCAAUGGUUGGUGUGCAAUGGUGGUGCAAAGGGUUGGUGAGCAAUGGUGGUGUGCAACUGUUGGUGUGCAACUGUGGUGCAAAGGGCUGGUGUGCAAUGGUUGAUGGUCAAGGGUGCAAAGGGUUGGUGUGCAAUUGUUGGUGUGCAAUGGUGGUGAGCAAUGGAUGUGCAAUGGUUGGUGUGUGAUGGUGCACGGGGUUGGUGUGCAAUGCUUGGUGUGCAAUAUUGCAUGGUGCUGGUGUGCAAUGGUGCAUGGGGUUGGUGUGCAAUGGUUGGGGUGCAGUGGUUGGUGUGCAAUGGUGGUGCAAAGGGUUGGUGCGCAAUGGUUGGUGCACAGCAGCAUUGCACGGGGGUGGCUGUGUGCUGUUGGUGUAACACGGCCGUGUUGCAGCUGCAGUGUUGGUGUAACAGGACUGCAGUGUUUGUUGGUGUAACACGGCUGUAGUGUGACUGCAGUGUUGGUGUAACACGACUGCAGUGUUGGUGUAACAUGGCUGCAGUGUUGGUGUAGCACGACUGUAGUGUCACUGCGGUGUUGGCAGAACACAACCACAGUGUUGGUGUAACACAACUGAAGUGUGACUGCAAUGUUGGUGUAACACAACCGCAGUGUUUGUUGGUGCAACACAACGGCAGUGCUGGUGUAAAAUGACUGCAGAGUUUGUUGGUGUAACUCGACAGCAGUGUUGGUGUAACACCACAGUAGUGCAACAGGAGUGUUGGUGUAACAUGAGUGCGGUGUGACUGCAGUGUUGGUGUAACACAACUGCAGUGUUUGCUGGUGUAACAUGACAGCAGUGUUGGUGUAACAUGGCUGCAGUGUUGGUGUAACACGACAACAGUGUUGGUGUGACACACCUGCAGUGUUGGUGUAACACUGCGGCAGUGUUGGUGCAACAUGGCGGCAGUGUUGGUGUGACACACCUGCAGUGUUGGUGCAACACGACGGCAGUGUUGGUGCGACACACUGCAGUGUUGGUGUAACAUGACGGCAGUGUUGGUGCAACACGACAACAGUGUUGGUGUGACACACUGCAGUG